rnacentral:lncRNA from 1 species
AAAUAUUGUAACCUGCUUUGGAUGCAACAUCAAAAUUAACUCUGGUCACGACUAUUACCAGUGCAAAACAUGUGCUUUUUCUCUUCACCCUCUCUGCUACAACAUGCCCUUAAUCACCAACCACCCUUCACAUCCAACCCACCAUCUACUCCUCCUUCCUCUACCUUCCACCAAACCCACUCUCAACUGUCUCGCAUGUGGCCACCGUGUCACCGCCUUUUCCUACCACUGUGCUCAAUGCUCCAUCUUCUUCCAUGCCUUCUGUCUUGCACUCCCUCUCUCCCUCGCAAUCACAUCCCAUCCCCACAAAAUCAACCUUGAGUUUUCACCACCCUAUCACUUCUUCUGUGACUUGUGCAACCACCCCAGUAAUCACAACCACCGCUGGCUCUAUAGAUGCAACAUCUGUGAAUUCGACACACAUAUACCUUGUGCCCUUCAAAAUCUGAUUGGAGGGGGACCAAGUAGAGAAAAUUUUGAUAGUAAAACCGCUGCUGGAUGGAACAAGAGAUUGUACGACAGAGCUGCUGAGAGUGAGAAGAUGAAUAAUGGUGAACUUGAAUUACUGGGAAAAGAACUAAGCCCUGCUGAAGUUUUAUCAAAGUUAGAAGAAAGAACACCGCUUCGGGAUAAAUGGACUCCACUUUCUGAUCAUUCACAGCUUAGUUACCAAUACAGCGACUCAUACUUUUCAAUAGAUUUGGCAAAGUCAUAUUCAACCCAUUCAGUUCAAAAAGAUGGUGCUACUAACUUUGUAAGCAAUUCCGUUCCAGUUAAUAUUAAUAAGCUGAAUGCAGAUAUUUUCAUGAAAGAAGGACCAAGAGUUAUGAUCAAAAAUGCUAACCAAAGCCACGCUAAACGAUCUGUUCAAGACCACACAAUAUCGGAGACAGUAAGUUCCAAUGAACUAGUACUCUAUAUAUAGUACCUUUUAUUUUUUUCAGCCUCCACGCUUCAAAAUAGAAUCUGUUCAAUCGAUUCUUGUUUCUUCAUCUGAAUCACAAAAGAAAAUCACUCCACACAGUGUGGAAUAUAUAGGUAAAGAAAUAGAUGUAAAAAUAAAUGAAAAUUAAGCAGAAAAAGAAAGUGGUAUAGGAAGAUGUAUAACAG